UGUAAUGUCCCCUAGACAUAUCUAUAUGCAUGUGGUACCCAUCAUCAUAUUUUUGGAAAACUUAUACCAAGUGUUUAGAUCAUCGUCUCUAAACACACGUAAUCUAGAUCAUCGUCUCUAGACUACACACCAUCAAGACACAACAAAUGGAUGCAUGAAAAUGCACAUACCAAUCAUAUGGUUUACCUCAACUACAUCAUCAUUAAAUUGGAUAAUAUAAUCCAAACAUUCUAAAUCACCACAUUUAGAAUUCAACAUCAUUAAUAAUUUGCUAUUAAGCAACAACGUCAUCCCACACCUGUAAAUACAUUCACAUCAUAAAUAUAUUCACAUAAAGUAUAUAACAUCACAUACUAACAUCAUCAUUUAAUUCCUAACUCAUUUGCUUUCACAAAACUCAUUUAUUUUCGAAAUAAUGCUACUAACAUAAGCACACACUAAUAAGUGUACAUCUUUUCGGGAAAAUAUCCCCGGAAUCGGAAUCUACGCGAAAAACUGAGCAAAAUAGGUUCCGACCAAAAAAGUAGACAAAAAGUCAACGGUCAGAGUCAACAGGUAGCGUCGGCCAUAGCGUCAGCCAGAAUGCGUCGCAAAACACUAUUCAUGCUGCAGAAUUAUGCAGAAACGUGUUUUUGGCUCGGGUUUGGCUCCAAAAGCACUUAUAAGCCUCGAAAAUCACUUAUUUAAGCCCAGAAAUUCAUGUCAAACAAUUACCACACUUAUAACAUGAUUAAAACAACUUAAAUCAACUUAAAUCAUCAAAAACAACCCAUUAAUUCAUGGAUUCUCAUCAUUUUACAUAAACCCACAAAUUUAUCAAAGACAACAAUCAACAUACAAAUGAAUCAUUUUUACCAUAGCAAAACAUCAUUCAAGCAUGGAUAAACAUCUACAAUCAUGCAACAAUU
rnacentral:lncRNA from 1 species